rnacentral:rRNA from 1 species
CAGUCGCCACGGGAAUACGGAGGGGGCUAGCGUUGUUCGGAAUUACUGGGCGUAAAGCGUACGUAGGCGGCUUUGUAAGUUAGAGGUGAAAGCCCGGGGCUCAACCCCGGAAUUGCCUUUAAGACUGUAUCGCUUGAAUCGCGGAGAGGUGAGUGGAAUUCCGAGUGUAGAGGUGAAAUUCGUAGAUAUUCGGAAGAACACCAGUGGCGAAGGCGGCUCACUGGACGCGUAUUGACGCUGAGGUACGAAAGCGUGGGGAGCAAACAGGAUUAGAUACCCCUGUAGUCCCUGUCUCUUAUAC